GGAGAUAAGAUUUUAAUCAUUUUUCAAAAUAUUUAUUUUUUUAAAUACGUAUAAUUUUACGAAGAUAUAAAAUUAUAAAGUAAUACACGAAAUAGAAAAUACAUUCUCACAAAUCAAAUACAAUAUUUCACACUAAUUUUAUACGAAGCACAUUCAUUUUAAAAAUUUUAUAAUAUUAAAUAAAAUUAAAAUUAUAUAAAGUAUUACCUAAUUAAAACAGUAAGAGAAUACAAAAUAGCGCACUACCAAAAGAUAAAAGAUUCAUAAAAACUUUCUAUUUAUAAAAAAUAAAUCAACUAGAUAUGUAACUCUAUUUUUAUAUUGUAUUUAUAAAAUUUUAUUAUAAAAGUAAAAAUUCAGUAAUUUUUCUAUUUAAACCUUUUAUAUAUUAUAGGUUGCAGUUAUUAGGUUAGAUUUUAAUUUUAUCAUAUAAAUUAUUAAAAAUUUAUUAGACGUGAUGCAGGCAAAAAAAAGAAGAAAAGAAAAAGUAAUAGGAGAGAGAGUGGAGUGAAGAAAGUGGGUGGGCUGAAUCAACUAAAUAGAUAACUCUAUUUUUAUAUUGUAUUUAUAAAAUUUUAUUAUAAAAAUAAAAAUUCAGUAAUUUUUCUAUUUAGACUUUUAUAGAUUGCAGUUAUUAGGUUACAUUUUAAUUUUAUCAUAUAAAUUAUUAAAAAUUUAUUAGACGUGGUGCAGGCAAAAAAAAAGAAAAAGAAAAAGAAAAAGAAAUAGGAGAGAGUGGAGUAGAGAGAGUGGGUGGGCCCCACCAAUGCUCCAAGCAAGGGGAGCUC
rnacentral:lncRNA from 1 species